CCUACGGGUGGCAGCAGUGGGGAAUAUUGCACAAUGGGCGAAAGCCUGAUGCAGCAAAGCCGCGUGAGCGAUGAAGGCCCUCCGGUCGUAAAGCUCUGUCCUCAAGGAAGAUAAUGACGGCACUUGAGGCGGAAGCCCCGGCUAACUAAGUGCCAGCAGCCGAGGUACUAGGUAGGGGGCUAGCGUAAUCAGGAAUUACUGGGCGUAAAGGGUGGGUCGGUGGUUUCUUAAGUCAGAGGUAAAAGGCUACGGCUCAACCGUAGUAUGCCAUUGAAACUGGGAAACUUGAGUGCAGGAGAGGAGAGUGGAAUUCGUGGUGUAGCGGUGAAAUGCGUAGAUAUUAGGAAGAACACCGAUUGCGAAGGCAGCUCUCUGGACUGUAACUGACACUGAGGCACGAAAGCGUGGGGAGCAAACAGGAUUAGAUACCCCUGUAGUC
rnacentral:rRNA from 1 species